rnacentral:lncRNA from 1 species
AUACUAUCGUUACAAGCCUUUAUUUAUAAGCCAAAAGGUCCUACUACUAUUCAUACAUAACAUUAUUCACAGCACUAUUCAUUAUAGCACUAUUCAUCCCAACACUAUUCACCCUUACAUAAAGGUCGACCGGAUCAGGACUCACAACCACUGCUGCAACCCAUGCACCCCGAACCAGAACGCGUGCUACAAUUGAAUCUCAUUCUCCUUUAACACCCUUUUCCUUUAAAACAUACUAAACGUACUACAGGUGAUGCAUCACCACUACGGCAAACCAGUACACCACAUAUCCCCCACCAAAACCGUGCCCACUUCACCUCCUCCACAUAGAUCUGUAACAGAUCAGUACAAUGAGAAAAACAUAAGCAAGACAGGGACAAGUCGAACAAACGUGGGCUAGGAGCAGGAACAAAUCGCAAAACAUGACUGGAGGAAACUAAAAUAAAACAAAGAAAAGAGAGAAAAUCUACAUUUCGGCGGUCGCACCACCAGAUGCGGCGGCGCCGGCGACAGAACCCCCACCUGA